GAUGAACGCUGGCGGCGUGCCUAAUACAUGCAAGUCGAGCGAACAGACGAGGAGCUUGCUCCUCUGACGUUAGCGGCGGACGGGUGAGUAACACGUGGAUAACCUACCUAUAAGACUGGGAUAACUUCGGGAAACCGGAGCUAAUACCGGAUAAUAUAUUGAACCGCAUGGGUCAAUAGUGAAAGACGGUUUUGCUGUCACUUAUAGAUGGAUCCGCGCCGCAUUAGCUAGUUGGUAAGGUAACGGCUUACCAAGGCGACGAUGCGUAGCCGACCUGAGAGGGUGGUCGGCCACACUGGAGCUGGGACACGGUCCAGACUCCUACGGGAGGCAGCAGUAGGGAAUCUUCCGCAAUGGGCGAAAGCCUGACGGAGCAACGCCGCGUGAGUGAUGAAGGUCUUCGGAUCGUAAAACUCUGUUAUUAGUGAAGAACAAAUGUGUAAGUAACUAUGCACGUAUUGACGGUACCUAAUCAGAAAGCCACGGCUAACUACGUG
rnacentral:rRNA from 1 species